UCGAGCGGACUGAUGGGAGCUUGCUCCCUGAUGUUAGCGGCGGACGGGUGAGUAACACGUGGGCAACCUGCCUGUAAGACUGGGAUAACUCCGGGAAACCGGGGCUAAUACCGGAUAACCCGUUCCACCUCAUGGUGGAGCGGUAAAAGAUGGCCUCUGGCUAUCACUUACAGAUGGGCCCGCGGCGCAUUAGCUAGUUGGUAAGGUAACGGCUUACCAAGGCGACGAUGCGUAGCCGACCUGAGAGGGUGAUCGGCCACACUGGGACUGAGACACGGCCCAGACUCCUGCGGGAGGCAGCAGUAGGGAAUCUUCCGCAAUGGACGAAAGUCUGACGGAGCAAUGCCGCGUGAGUGAUGAAGGUUUUCGGAUCGUAAAGCUCUGUUGUUAGGGAAGAACAAGUGCCGUUUGAAUAAGGCGGCACCUUGACGGUACCUAACCAGAAAGCCACGGCUAACUACGUGCCAGCAGCCGCGGUAAUACGUAGGUGGCAAGCGUUGUCCGGAAUUAUUGGGCGUAAAGCGCGCGCAGGCGGUCUCUUAAGUCUGAUGUGAAAGCCCACGGCCCAACCGUGGAGGGUCAUUGGAAACUGGGAGACUUGAGUACAGAAGAGGAGAGUGGAAUUCCACGUGUAGCGGUGAAAUGCGUAGAUAUGUGGAGGAACACCAGUGGCGAAGGCGACUCUCUGGUCUGUAACUGACGCUGAGGCGCGAAAGCGUGGGGAGCAAACAGGAUUAGAUACCCUGGUAGUCCACGCCGUAAACGAUGAGUGCUAGGUGUUAGGGGUUUCGAUGCCCUUAGUGC
rnacentral:rRNA from 1 species